rnacentral:rRNA from 1 species
UACGUAGGGACCAAGCGUUGUUCGGAUUUACUGGACGUAAAGGGCGCGUAGGCGGCAAUUCAAGUCAGCUGUGAAAUCUCCGGGCUUAACUCGGAACGGUCAGCUGAUACUGCUUUGCUAGAGUGCGGAAGGGGCAAUCGGAAUUCUCGGUGUAGCGGUGAAAUGCGUAGAUAUCGAGAGGAACACCUGAGGUGAAGACGGGUUGCUGGGCCGACACUGACGCUGAGGCGCGAAAGCCAGGGUAGCAAACGGG